rnacentral:rRNA from 1 species
GACAGAGGGUGCAAACGUUGUUCGGAAUUACUGGGCAUAAAGCGCACGUAGGUGGUCCGCUAAGUCGAGUGUGAAAUCCCUCGGCUCAACCGGGGAACUGCGUCUGAUACUGGGUGGCUUGAAUCCGGGAGAGGGAUGCGGAAUUCCAGGUGUAGCGGUGAAAUGCGUAGAUAUCUGGAGGAACACCGGUGGCGAAGGCGGCAUCCUGGACCGGCAUUGACGCUGAGGCGCGAAAGCCAGGGGAGCAAACGGG